rnacentral:rRNA from 1 species
AGAACGAACGCUGGCGGCAUGCCUAACACAUGCAAGUCGAACGCCCCGCAAGGGGAGUGGCAGACGGGUGAGUAACGCGUGGGAACAUACCUUUCGGUUCGGAAUAGCUCAGGGAAACUUGAAUUAAUACCGGAUACGUCCGCAAGGAGAAAGAUUUAUCGCCGAAAGAUUGGCCCGCGUCCGAUUAGCUAGUUGGUGAGGUAAUAGCUUACCAAGGCGACGAUCGGUAGCUGGUCUGAGAGGAUGAUCAGCCACACUGGGACUGAGACACGGCCCAGACUCCUACGGGAGGCAGCAGUGGGGGAUAUUGGACAAUGGGCGCAAGCCUGAUCCAGCCAUGCCGCGUGAGUGAUGAAGGCCCUAGGGUUGUAAAGCUCUUUCGUCAGGGACGAUAAUGACGGUACCUGAAGAAGAAGCCCCGGCUAACUUCGCGCCAGCAGCCGC